rnacentral:lncRNA from 1 species
ACAGCGCCCCCCGGUGAGCGUCGCGGCGGCCUCCGCGCCUUGCGGGUUUGCGGCCCGACCCUCCGCACCCGGGGCGAGCCUGGAUGGGACGAGGCUUGAGGGAAGGAGGGGCGAUCGUCGCGGCCCCCACGGAAGGCAGUCUUUCUACCUUUUUUGCUUCCAGACUCACUGACAUAAAAUGAGAAAUACAACAUUUGACAACUCGAAGCCAGCCUGGGGUCACAUUCCGGCAAACAGUGGGAACCAGCAAAGCCAAGGACAGAGAGGUCUUCAGGGAAUACAUGGCUAUGGUGGUUUGAAGACUCCCAUUAGAGAGUGGAUAUUAAUUGCCCUCCUUUUGAAUAUGGUCUGGACUUAGUGAUUUGAUUGUAACAAAUAGAAUACAGCAGAUGUGAUGCUAUGUGACUUCCAAACCUAGGUCAUAAAAGGAGAUGAAGUUUUCACCUGGCUCUCCCUUGGGACACUCACCCUUGGAACCCAGCUGCCAUAUUGUGAGGAAGCUCAAGCCACAGGGAAGGCCAUGUGUAGGUGUUUGGGCUGAUGGUGCCAGCUGAGGACCUGGUCUACUGCCAGUACAACUUAUAUCAAGCAUGUGAGUUGGCGAGCUUUUGAAAGAACUCCAGCCACAGUCACUGACCACGCUGCCUGAGAGACCUAGAGAGAAAACCUAGCUGAGCCAAAUCAGGCCCCGGAAACGUAAGUGAUAAUAAUAAAAGAUUGUCAUCUGGGUGGUUGUUACAUAGCAAUAGACACCUAGAACAGUGACAGAGCUGGAAUUUGAACCCAGAUAGUCUGACUCUAUAGUCUUCACUAUCAAGCACACUACCUCAGACCUUGAUA